rnacentral:ncRNA from 1 species
AUCCUUGGAGAGACUCUUUAUAAUGAGCACCGAAGGAGAAAGCUGUAUAGCGAAACUCUCAGGUAAAAGGACAGGGUAG